rnacentral:tRNA from 1 species
UAAUGGAAUGCCUGAAAAAAGGGUUAUUUUGAUAGAAUAAAUUAUAUAGAUUUCUAUUUCCAUU